UACGGGGGGUGCAAGCGUUGUUCGGAUUUACUGGGCGUAAAGGGCGCGUAGGCGGUCAGCACAAGUCAGUUGUGAAAUCUCCGGGCUUAACUCGGAAAGGUCAACUGAUACUGUGCGACUAGAGUGCGGAAGGGGCAACUGGAAUUCUCGGUGUAGCGGUGAAAUGCGUAGAUAUCGAGAGGAACACCUGCGGCGAAGGCGGGUUGCUGGGCUGACACUGACGCUGAUGCGCGAAAGCCAGGGGAGCGAACGGG
rnacentral:rRNA from 1 species